rnacentral:lncRNA from 1 species
CCUUUUCUAACCACCACAAUGGCUAUUUUUUGGUUGAUGUACCUUUGCCAAGCCUUGAUCAUCCAUGAUCCUUUGUGGCGAGAGCAUGGCCACUAAUGAACAAGAUGAUGGGAAAAUCUAGUAAGCCAAAGUCGCUUAUUUUAUUUUUUUAUUGGUGUUGAACUUGGCCGGUCACCUACCAUUGACCAUUUCUUGCUUGACCACCGUC